rnacentral:misc_RNA from 1 species
AUUUCUUUCAAUCAUUCAUUUUUCUACAUCCAAUAUAGUAAAAAUCUCUCUUAAUUUUGCCAAUGGAAGAAAAACAAAAAACAAAAAACCGCCGGUCGCCGGAUGGCACAAUGUUAUUCGAAUUCCUUCAUACAAAGACGUUCCCGGCGCCGACAUCGGAGGGGGAAAAAGCGAGGAGAAGAAGCGCCGCCAUGAUUCCAACCGGAAAGAAGAGAAACACAAGCGGUGGCGGAGGCAGCGGCGGAAGAACCAAGGGCAGAACGACCAUGGAAACCGCAACGGCGGCGAGGACGAAAACGGACACUAAGUUGAAGCAACGUACCAUAGCAAUUUUCUGGCAGCCGGAGAUUGGAUCAUGUCCUUCAGCGGCGGGAAUGCGUGUGAAAAGAAUCCGGUGACGACGGUGGCAAUUUUGGAUCGAAG